rnacentral:lncRNA from 1 species
GGUGUAUAAAGCAAUUUUAACAGUUUUAAAAAGACCACAAAACAAAACAAAAAGUUUUAAAAAAGCAAACAAAACAAUAACAGUGACAAGAGAAACAAACUAGAAAAACGCCUGGGACCUUGCAGAAGCAAACACAAAAUUGCUUUGUAAUAUCAUUCCUGCAAUGUAGGGCACGAAAAGCUCUCACAAGUUAAACAAACAAAUAAAAAAACUUGCCAAAGAUUAAAAACAAGAACGCUCACAAACACUAGAAAAUAACUGACUCUGAGGGGCAGUCAAUACGCACACCAAACUGCAGAAAUAACAUUUCAAGAACUUUAGGUUAUAGAACAAAUUGAAAGAAUAAAAGAAGUAUUUAGAAAUUAUUCAAAAACUGAAAGCAAAAACAGGAACCCUAAGAAUGGAUUUCGGCACUAAUAGAAAAGAAAAGGAAGAUCUGAAAACAGAGUGAAUAGAACUUUUAGGAGUUCGUAAAAAGUCACUGAAAUUCAAAACUCCCAAGAAAAGUUAGCAGAUUAGAAGGAGCUACAGAGGCUGGGUGCUGUGGCUCAUGCCUGUAAUCCCAGUACUUUGGGAGGUGGAGGCGGGAGGAUCACUUGAGGUCAGGAGAUUGAGACCAUCUUGGCCAACAUGGUGAAACCCUGUUUCUACUAAAAUACAAAAAAUUAGCUGGGCAUGGUGGCGCACGCCUAUAGUCCCAGCUACUUGGGUGGUGAGGCAGAGGAAUCGCUUGAAACCAGGAGGCGGAGGUUGCAGUGAGCCGAGAUUGCGCCACUGCACUCCAGCCAGGCAACAGAGCGAGAUUCCAUCUCAAAAAAAAAAAAAAAAAAGAGAGAGAGUAGUAAACUAGAAGACUGCUCCGAUGGAGUUGCCAAGAAAGUAGCACAGAGACAAAGAAGUGGAAAAUCAUAAAUAUGUGCCUAAUAAAACUGCAAAACACCGAAGACUAAAGUCUUAAAGGCAAUCACAGUGAUCAAAACAUACAGCCUCACUUAUGUGAAGUUCAAGAUCAGGCAAAACUGAUCUAUCUGUUAGCUGUCAGAAUAGUGGUUAUUUCUGGUGAUUAAGGGGAGGGUUCCAACUGGGAAGAGGCAUAGGGUAUCCUUUGAGAUAUUGAGAUUGUUUUAUGUCUUCCUGGUUACAUGCUCUAUAAGUAUGUAAAAAGUCACUGAGCUGUACAUGCAAGAUUUUGUGCACUUUAUUAUAUGUAUAUUAUAGAUCAAUAAAGAUACUUUUUAAAAAAGUAAUCAGAACAAAAGAAAGACUACCUAUAAAGGUAUAACAGCUGGAUUAGCAACCCACUUUGGUCAGAAACAAGAAAGUCCAGAAUGUUAUCCAAUAGUAACUUCAAAAUGCCAUGGAAAAUAAACAUCAACUUAGGUCCUUUACCUAACAGAACUGUUAUUAGGUGACUAAAGACAUUUUCAGACCAAGAUUAAAACAACGUCAACAGAUUGGUGAAUCUACAUAAGCAUUAACCUUCAAAAAUUGUAAUUAUAGGCCAGGUGCAGUGGCUCAUGCCUGUAGUCCCAGCACUUUGGGAGGCCAAGGCGGAAGGGUCCCUUGAGCCCAGGAAUUUGAGACCAGCCUGAGCAACAAAAUACAAAAAUAAGCCAGACCUAAUGGCGUGUGCACAUAGUCCCAGCUACUUGGGAGGCUGAGGUGAGAGGAUUGCUUGAGUUUCAGAGGUAGAGGCUGCAGUGAGCUGUGAUCAUGCCACUGCACUCCAGCCUGUGUGACAGAAGGAAACCCUGUCUCAAAAUUUUUUUAAUAAUUUUAAAGGGUUUUUGGAUUAUCCUGCAUGCAACAUGUGCGUGUGCACACACAUACACACCCACACACACUCAACAGAGAGAGAGAGAGCUGUGAAAUGAUGCAUGGCAAGAUUAUUCACGGCAGCACUGUUUGAAACAGCAUAAAUUAGAACCAACCUCAAUAUUCAUCAACAAGGGAACAGAUUAAAUAGAUUAUAUUACACCCAUAUACUGGAAUACCAUUUAGCCAUUAAAAACAACAAAAUAUAUUUUUGAGUAUGAUAUACAAUAAAUGUAUUUCUAUAUGAGUUAGAUUUUCUGCAUUAACAACUGCAAAAUCCCAGUGGGUUAUAACAAUGAAUUUCUCAUACACUCCAUCUACACAGGAGGAGAAAGUGAGUCAUUGCAAACAUCAAACAUGAUUUCACAAUUGCUAGGUUAAACAACUAGAGUGAAGAACAGUGUGUACAGUGUCCUACCACUUGGAUAAAAGAAAUCAAGCCAAAAUAAUUCAUCAUAUAAUUGUUUUACAUAUAAGAUCUCUGGAAGAAUACACAUGAAACUGGCAAAGAUGUCUGCCUUAGUGCAUGGGAACUAGGUGGCUGCACUAGGGAUACGCUGGACUUAUUUCACUGUUUACCCUUUGCACUUUUUGAACUUUAUGCCACUUGAAUGUAUUAUCUAAGAAAAAAUUAAAUUUCCUGUAUUUUUUGGGUGGAGGCUAGAGAUAACAACUUUAGACUUGAUCCAGCAAGUACAGAUGUUAAGAUUUUAAGAGUAAUCACAGAAAGAAUUGGAAUUGAGUAUACCACUAAAAUGGCACAGGAAACAGGGGUAAAAAUACUCUCUUGGGCAUGUAAAAUAUAUAUAUAUUUAAAAGUCAUUUGUGUUUUUCUUAAACUAUCUUUGAAUCUCAUUAGACUCUUUUUCUAUUAGGUUAUUACUCUUUUUUUUUGGCAUUGAUAUCUAGGGUCUCCUUUUACAUUAGGGAGAUAAGCCCUUUGUUUGUGACACAGUUGCAAAUAUUUUUUCCUAGUUUGUUGCAGAGGAUUUUAUUGAAUGUAGGCGAAUUUUUCAGUCUUUAAAAAAAUAACUUGAGUCAUAGUUAGAAAGCCUUUCCCUCUUUAAGAUUAUAAAAGAAUUAUCUAAUAUUGUCUUUCAAUACUUCCUGUAUGAGUCUCAUUUUUUCUCCAGCAAACUUUUAUGUAGGCAGGAACAAUAAUGAGUACAACUGCAUGUCUUUUAUGUGGCCUAAUAUCUCCUGUGUGUUUUCACCAGUAGAGAAUCCAUUUCUACUGAUGAUCUUAAAUUUUUCCCUAAUCACUGAUUAGUGUCCUCUAUAAUCUAAGGCAACUGAAACAAAAAUGGUUUUCACAAUGAUUUUGAAAAAAUAAUUUGAUUUUAUUCCCAUUAUAGAGGAAGAAAUUAAAGUUUAGAGAUGUUAGAAAACUUGUUCAGUAUUACAUAGAAAGUAGUGGUAUUGGAAUUGAAACUGAAACUCAGGCUGAAAUCUUAACUCCUACAGGUUGUGAUGGGCACAACCUAGAAAUGAUAUUUCUUUGCAGCUUUAUUGAGGUAUAACUGACAAAUUGUAUAAAUGUAAGAUAUAUAAUGUGAUGAGUUUUAUACAAAUACAUUGUGAAAUGAUUACCACAAUCAAGUUGGUUAACUUCACAAACAUACAGUUAGAUAGAGAGAAUAAGUUCCAGUGUUUGAUAGCAAAGUAGGGUGACUAUAGUUAAAAACAAUGUAUUGUAUAUUUCAAAAUAGUUAGAAAAGAAGAAAUGUUCCCAACACAUAGAAAUGAUCAAUACUCUAGGUAACAGAUACCCUAAAUACCCUGACUUGAUCAUUACACAUUGUAUGCAUGUUAUAAAAUAUCACAUAUACCCCAUAAAUAUGUACAAAUAUUAUGUAUCAAUGAAAAAUUUUAAAAUUCCAUUCAUGAAUUUUGCCUGUUUUAAAGUCUGACUCUUUUUCACUAUUGAGUUAUAUGAGUUCCUUAUAUAUUUUGGAUUUUAACCCCUUAUCAGAUAAAUGGUUUGCAAAUAUUAGAAACGAUACUGAUUAUUCUUUUCUUUCACUUAUUACUGUCAAUAUCAGGAAACGAGGCAGCAAAAAAUAUAUCAGUUUUCUAAAACAGAGCUGCACACACUAAAUGGGGAAAUUAUGAAACAUAGUUUAGAAAUCUAAUUUGCUCGUUUGUCCAAUGAUAUACUUAGCAAUUUAUAAAUUGUUCUCACAUGGAUUAUCUCAUGCCAUCCUACAACAAAAAGAUAUUUCAGUUGUUAAAAUAGCAUUUGUCCUCUAGGAAAAUGGGAGGAAAGUGACAUAUAUACAAUGUUAUUCAUAGCAACAUUGUAUUAGCAAAAGAUUGAAAACAAAUGUCUAUCUUUUAACUAAGGGACUGAAAAGUGUUUGCAGAACAGUGUGUACAGUAUGCUCCGGCUUGUGAGCAAAUGCAUAAUACUUCAACUUCUUCAUCCUUUCAAGUUUUCUAAAUUCAAGAAAUGGUAUAUUCAAUAUUUUUUUUUAUCACUGUGAUAGUCAAGAUUCUCCCAAAUAAAAGGAUAGUUGGCCACAAGUUCUGGGUCUCUUUAGUCUACAGGAUUAAUCCAUUCAACUUGAAGUACACUUCACUAAUAUUUUACGUUUCCACUCAUUAUCUAGGCUCUGGCUUGUGCAGCUAACUGGAAAUUCUCAAAGAAGCAGAAGCCUCAAAUAUUUCUGCUAUUGAUGAGAGAGAUGAAAUUAUGACAGAGGCUGGGCACGGUGGCUCAUGCCUGUAAUCCCAGCACUUUGGAGGCUGAGAAGGGUGGGUCACCUGAGGUUAGGAGUUUGAGACCAGCCUGACCAAAUCCCGUCUCUACUAAAAAUACAAAAAUUAGCCGGGUGUGGUGGUACAUGCCUGUAAUCCCAGCUAAGGCAGGAGAAUUGCUUGAACCCAGGAGGCGGAGGUUGUGGUGAGCUGGAAUCGAGCCAUUGCACUCCAGCCUAAGUAACAAGAGGGAGAUUUUGUCUCAAAAAAAAAAAGAGGGCCAGGUGCCGGUGCCUCACACCUGUAAUCCCAGCACUUUGGGAGGCCAACGCGGGUGGAUCACAAAGUCAAGAGAUCGAGACCAUCCUGGCCAACAUGGUGAAACCCCAUCACUGCUGAAAAUACAAAAAUUAGCUGGACAUGGUGGCGGGCACCUGUAGUCCCAGCUACUCCGGAGGCUGAGGCAGGAGAAUUGCUUGAACCUGGGAGGUGGAGGUAAGCUGAGAUCGCGCCACUGCACUCCAGUCUGGUGACAGAGCAAGACCCCAUCUCAAAAAAAAAAAGAAAAAAGAAGUUGAUGAUAGAACAUAGAUGAUAGAGAAUAACACGGACCAAACUGUGUAACAUCACAGAUGUCU